rnacentral:rRNA from 1 species
UACGGGGGGUGCAAGCGUUGCUCGGAAUUAUUGGGCGUAAAGGGUAGGUAGGUGGUCUCAUUUGUCUGAGGGGAAAGCCUUGGGCUUAACCCAAGAAGUGCCUCAGAAACGGUGAGACUAGAGUCCUGGAGAGGGUCGUGGAAUUCCCGGUGUAGCGGUGAAAUGCGUAGAGAUCGGGAGGAACACCAGAGGCGAAGGCGGCGACCUGGACAGGUACUGACACUCAACUACGAAAGCGUGGGGAGCAAACAGG